GUUUAGUGUUGAAACGGCUCGGGGUGGGUGUGGAGCUCUUAAAAUUGGACAUUUUGCGUAAUUAAUUGACAAAGGUCACUGAGCAGCGACGAACGCCGGCGCGGCUGCUGACGGAGCCGGGGAGGAGUGGGAGGACUCCCAGCCUCGAGGAUAGUCCUCACCGGGGACUGCCUCUCGGAGGACGGAGCGCCACCCGGCGGGAGCACACUCCGCGCGCACGUGUGUGGAGACCAGUGACAGUGACAUAUCGUGGGGAUUUGGUAUCGAGAGUACCAAGUGAAAACUGUGUGAUUUGAGGAACCGAUCCAGGACGAGCCCGCGGAAGGCGUCAGUGUGUCAGUGUGCGUUGGGGAGCUAUGUGACGAGUCGCCCGGACGGACGGUAUGACGCACUGACGCGGUGCGUCUGAGGUGACUUUACUGCAGAUCGGUACUGUUUUAACCGACAUCGGCGAGCCAGGAUGGCACUGCGCGGGAGGAGGAUGGUGACAGCCGCGUGCGCGCUGCUCGUGCACUCGCUCGCCAUCGCCGCCGCUGCCGACCCGCCGGUGAUCACGGAGGAGCCGCGCGACCAGAAGGUGCCCUACUCAGAGGCGGCCGCCUUCUUCUGUCGGGCGCGCGGCGACCCGGCGCCGGUCAUCACCUGGUGGCGUAACGGCGAGCCGCUGCAGCCCAGCCUACUGGUCGAGUUCCCGCAGGGCAAGGGCUUCUGGGUGGAGCCGGUCCGCCGCACGACUGACGAGGGCGACUACGAGUGUGUGGCAGAGAACGGCGUGGGUGAUCCGGUGCGCGCCAAGGCCUCGCUCACCGUCAUCGGAGGUGCGGACAGCGUGCGUCCGUCGGGAUUUCCGCGGAUCACGCAGGACCCGAUGCCGCAGCCGGUGGAGAAAGGCCGCGACUUUGUGGUGCGGUGCCGCGCCACGGGCGACCCGGAGCCGACCAUCCACUGGUUCAAGGACGGCGUGCCGGUCAACAUGUCCGACAGCCGGUACCGACUGCGCGGCGAGCCCAACAGAGGUGAUCUGCGCAUUGCUGACUCGGUGGUGAGCGACCAGGGCAAGUAUCGGUGUGCCGCCGAGAACAGCGAGGGCACCGUCUACUCCAAGGACUCGACCGUCUACAUACGAGUUCGCCGGGUGAAGCCGUCGUUCACCAUCCCGCCGGAGCCGAUGUACGAGGUCCUGCCCGGCGAGAGCCUCAACCUGACGUGUGUCGCCGUGGGGUCGCCAAUGCCGCACAUCCGCUGGAGGAAGGAGCCGGGCAGCGAGCCGUCACCCAAGGAGAACGCGCCCAUCGGCCGGGCCUUCCUGGUGCUCAACAACAUCAGGGAGUCUAUGAACUACACGUGUCUGGCGACCAGCGAACUGGGCACCGUCACCUCCCACACCCAGGUCAAGGUGCAAGCGAUGCCGCGUCCGCCGACCAACCUGCGGGUGUCGGACGUCACCUCCGAGUCUGUUCGUCUGACGUGGUCCUACGACCUGGACCAGGAGACCAUCCAGUACUACGUGAUCCAGUACAACCAGAAACACGGCAUCCAACAGGAGGAGAUCAGUGGAGUGAUCACGCUGUUUUACGUGGUGCCCAACCUCGCUCCGUAUACCGAGUACGAGUUCCGAGUGAUCGCCGUCAAUAACAUCGGGCGCGGUCAGCCCAGCGUGCCCGUCCAGGUCACCACCGGACCCACAGAGCCGGGCUCGGCGCCGAAGAACGUGCACGUUCGCCCGCUGAGCUCCAGUACCCUGGUGGUGAAAUGGGACGGUCCCGACCAGCCCAACGGACAGAUCACCAACUACCGUGUCUACUACACUCGGACUCCGGACAAGCCCCUGAAGCAGUGGGAGUCGGACGUGGUGAACGCCGGCAGCACCACCCUCACCACCAUCUCCAACCUGAUCCCGCACGAGAUCUACACGUUCCGCGUGCAGGCCGAGACGCUGGCCGGCUCGGGGCCCAUCUCCGUACCGGUGCGAGCCAAAACACAGCAGGGAGUGCCCAGCCAGCCGAACGGCCUGCGAGUGGUGAAGGCGGACGCCACGACGGCCGAACUGGAGUGGGACCGCCCCUCCCACUCGGGAGAGAGCAUCAUCAACUAUGUCGUCUACUACAACGACUCGUAUGAUGCGGAUGAGCGUCGGAUCAACAUCCCGGUCCGUGAGCAGUACACGAUGGAGGGCCUGUACCCGAACACCCAGUACUUUGUGUGGGUGGCGGCCCAGUCGGGCAUGGGAGAGGGCGCCGCCACGCCGGCCGUCUCCUUCCGCACGGACGAGUAUGUGCCGGGCGAGGCGCCGCGCGAGGUGGCCGUGCGCGCCAUCGACUCGCGCUCGCUGCUGGUUACCUGGCGGCCGCCGCCGGCCGACCAGCAGAACGGCGCCAUCACCUACUACAAGCUCUUCUACAAGCUCUCCGGACACAACGACUCGCAGACGGUGCAGAUCAUUGUCAACGAUCCGACGCGGCGCAACUUCACGCUGGACGAGCUGCACAAAUACGCCGAGUACUCUGUGCGCGUGCUGGCCGGGACGCGGGUCGGAGACGGCCCCGCCAGCCGGCCGGUACUGGCGCGCACCGAUGAGGACGUGCCCGGGAAGCCUCGGAACCUGACGGCUGUGGUGCUCAACUCGACGGCCGUGCAGCUGUCGUGGGCGCCGCCGAGCGACAACGAGCGGAACGGCAUCAUCCGCGGGUACCAGGUGCAUGUCCAGGAGCUGGGCUCCGAGAGUGGCGGCUCGACCCGUCCUCGGCGGUAUGAGAUCCGGAACGGCAGCGCGGACGGUUACAUCGCCUCCGACCUGCAGCCCAGCACCGCCUACCUGUUCAGGGUCUCUGCCCUGACCCGGAAGGGAGACGGCUCGCGCAGUGACGCCGCCCGGGUCACCACGCAGGGUGGAGUGCCCAACCGGCCCAAGGUCAUCAUCAAAGUGAUCAAGGAGGAGGAGCGCGUCACGCUGGACGUGGAGUGGUCGCGGCCCACCGAGACCCACGGCCCGCUGCUGGGCUACCGGCUGCGCUACGGCCGGGUCGGCGGUCCCGGGCCGCUCAAGGAGGUCAACAUUGCCGACAACACCACCCAGUACCGGCGGCUCAGCGACCUGGAGCGCGGCGUGCAGUACGAGUUCCGCGUGUCGGGCACCAAUGACGUGGGUCACGGUCAGGAGGAGAUAGUGAUGUACGUGACCAGCGAGGGGGCGCCGUCCGGGCCGCCCUCCAACGUCUCCUUCAGGUUCCAGACCACUGACCGGGUUGCCUUCACCUGGGACCCGCCGCGCUCCGACCAGCGCAACGGCAAGAUCACCGGCUACAGCGUGCGCUUCCACAAGAAGGGCAACAUGGACCACGUGCAGCGGCUGCACCCCAACGAGACCAAGGUGGUGUUUGCCAGACUGGAGGAGAACACCGAGUACGAGUUCCGCGUGCUGGCCAACACGUCGGUGGGCUCCGGCCCGUGGAGCAGCCCGGUGGUGGUGAGAACGGACGCCGACCUGGUGCGGCCGCCCAUCAACCUGCGCGCUAUGGCCACCAGCUACUCGAGCGUCGAGGUCUGGUGGGAACAGGUGCACACGGCCACGCAGAUCGUCGGCUAUCAGGUAUUUUACGCCAUGGUGCCAGACGUGGAUCUGGACUCGUGGUCGUUCAAGACUGUGCCCAUCACCACCUCGGCAGAGCUGGAGAACCUCGACAAGAACGCCCAGUACGCCGUCAUGGUGGCCGCCAGGAGCAAGGCCGGCCUGGGUCGCCUCUCCGACCUGAUCCGCGUCCGCGUCAAACCCAUCGACGUGCCGAUGAACCUGCGCGCCAAGAACGUGCACACGCACGGUAUGUCGCUCAGCUGGGGCCCUCCUGUUCAGCUGAACCCGCGCAGCUACCGCGUCCGCUACGACGCCGUCAAGGAGUUCCUGGACGCCGAGGGCGUCACCCAGUCGCAGCGGAUCCAGGCGCGCACCAUGGUGGUGGACGCCGGCCGCUGCGACUACACCAGCAGCUCGACGAACGCCUGCGGCCUGGUGAUCGACUCGCUGGAGCCGUUUACCACGUACACGGUCAAUGUGACGGCCGUGCCCAACGACAGCGAGUACCGCGCGCCGGCAAAGAUCAGGGUCACCACCCAUAUGGCCGCUCCCCAGCCGAUGGUGAAGCCGGACCCGCUCGGAGUCCGUAACGGCCGCGAGGUGCUGGUCAUCCUGCCGCGGGCCUCCGAGGAGUACGGACCUAUCUCUCACUACUACAUCGUGGUGGUGCCAGAGGACACCGUCAACCCCUACAGACACCCCGAGUCGUACAGCACCAAAAACAUGGUACAGACCAAGCGGACCAAGCUGACCCGCAACUACCGUCCGUACAUCGCGGCCAAGUUCUACCAGCGCGACAUUCCGUACACAUUCGCUCUGGGAGAUGGAAAGGAGUACGACGGCUUCCUGAACAAGGUGCUGGAAAAGGACAAGAAGUACCGCAUCUUCGUCAGAGCCGUGGUCGACACGCCGGAAAGGGAACUGUUCACGUCCAGUCCGUACUCUAGCCCUCUGAGUCUGGACAUGAAGCGGCUGCCGCCGGGCGCGCUGCCGCAGCGGCCGAUCCCCGGCAGUCCGGGCGACCCGGUCGAGGUGGCUACAGAGGGCGACCGCGGCCCGACCAGCCUCGUCUGGGUGGUCGGACCCGUGGUGGCCGGCGUCGUGCUCUUCGUCAUCUUCAUACUCUUCCUGGUGAUCACUGCGAAAAAACGCCGCGACUUCCAGAAGUCUCCGGAGCCGCCGACGGUGAUGAAGCCUCUGAUGUGUGACAUGUCUGCGGCGCCGGCCACCCAGCCGCCGCAGACCGACCCCGUGGAGAUCCGCCGGCAGAACUUCCAGACGCCCGGCAUGAUCUCGCACCCGCCCGUCCACAUCGCCCAGCUGGCAGAGCACGUGGAUGCGCUGAAAGCCAACGAUAACCAGAAGUUCUCACAGGAGUAUGAGUCGAUCGAGACGGGUCAGCAGUUCACCUGGGUGAACUCCAACAUGGACGUCAACCGGCCCAAGAACCGCUACGCCAACGUCAUCGCGUACGACCACUCGCGGGUGGUGCUGCAGCCCAUCGAGGGACAGGCGGGCAGCGACUACAUCAACGCCAACUUCUGCGACGGCUACCGAAAACACAACGCCUACAUCGCCACUCAGGGUCCUCUACCGGAGACGUUCGCCGACUUCUGGCGCAUGGUGUGGGAGCAGCGCAGCUACACCAUCGUGAUGAUGACCCGUCUGGAGGAGCGGGCGCGCAUCAAGUGCGACCAGUACUGGCCUUCCAAGGGCACCCAGACCUACGGACCGAUCAUCGUCACACACACGGAGACUCAGGAGGUGGCCAGCUACGUGGUGCGCACCUUCCAGCUGCAGAGGUCGGACUCUGUGGAGCGCCGCGAGGUGCGUCAGUUCCAGUUCACCGCCUGGCCGGACCACGGCGUGCCCGACCACCCCACCCCGUUCCUCAUGUUCCUGCGGCGCGUCAAGGCGCUCAACCCGUCCGACGCCGGUCCGAUGGUCACCCACUGCUCGGCCGGCGUCGGCCGCACCGGCUGCUUCAUCGCCAUCGACAGUAUGCUGGAGCGGAUCCGCUGCGAGGCCACGGUGGACGUGUACGGCCACGUGACCUGUCUGCGCGCCCAGCGAAACUACAUGGUCCAGACCGAGGAUCAGUACAUUUUCAUCCACGACGCGCUGCUGGAGUCGGUGGUGGCCGGAAACACGGAGGUGCCGGCGAAGAACCUGCAGUCGUACAUAUCGCAGCUGCUGCAGCCCACCGGACCAGGAGACAACAUCACCGGCAUGGAGCUCGAGUUCAAGAAGCUGGCCAACAUCAAGGCGCAGCCGUUCCGCUUCGUGUCGGCCAACCUGCCGGCCAACAAGUUCAAGAACCGCUUCGUCAACAUCCUGCCGUUCGAGUCGACCCGGGUGUGCCUGCAGCCGCUGCGGGGCCAGGAGUGCAGCGACUACAUCAACGCCAACUUCAUCGACGGCUACCGCACCCGGAACGCCUACAUCGCGACCCAGGGUCCGUUGGCGGAGACGACCGACGACUUCUGGCGCAUGUUGUGGGAGCACAACUCGACCAUCAUCGUGAUGCUGACCAAGCUGAAGGAGAUGGGCCGCGACAAGUGCCACCAGUACUGGCCCAGCGACAAGUCGGCCAGGUACCAGUACUGCGUGGUGGAGCCUAUCAGCGACUUCAACAUGAGCAACUGCACCAUGAGGGAGUUUAAUGUGACGGACGCGCGGGACGGCACGCCGCGUACGGUACGGCAGUUCCAGUACACCGACUGGCCCGAACAGGGCGUACCGGCGUCGGGCGAGAGUUUCGUCGACUUUGUCGGUCACGUGCACAAGACAAAGUCGCAGUUCGGCCUGGACGGACCAAUCACCGUCCACUGCAGCGCCGGCGUGGGUCGGACGGGCGCGUUUAUCGCGCUCAGUAUUGCCCUGGAGCGGAUGCAGUUCGAGGGCGUGGUGGACAUGUUCAACACGGUGCGGAUACUGCGCACACAGCGACCAGCCAUGGUGCAGACCGAGGAAGAGUACCAGAUCUGCUAUGAAGCGGCCAUUAGAUUCUUGCAGUCGUUUGAUUUCAUCAUCGAGGAGUAGCGGCUGGGCUCGAGUGAGAGCGUAGGUACGCCAUCCGCCGGUCGGAAGGGAUGGGGACGGGCCUCUCCUCUCACCACACGCCGUAGCAUGGAGGACACCCGCCGCACUAACGGACUGGUGGAGCGCGGUGGCCGGUGACCGGUCCGAGGGACGACAGCUGGUGGUGGUCAGGAUUACUUUACUGAUGCGGUGGGGACCAGUACCAGUUCGUGUACCGCGCGGCGCUCGAGUACCUCAACUCGUUCGACCACUACGUGGCCUAGGGCGCCACCUAGAGGCCCCGGUCGGCCGACCGAGGAGGUCCGUUCACCGGCGGAGACCAGCCGCGCACAGUGGGACGAUCGCGCCGCGCCGGUGACAAAAGUGCUGCGCGGAGACAGUGCCGGCGCGCGAGAGAGGCGUCGGUGACGCGGUGUGUACAUAUGUGGCGCCGCCGCCGCAGCCGUCGGGACAGCGGUCCCACAUAUCAGGAGCGCGAGCGGCCGGCCCACCAGCAAUAGAGGCAGGCGGGGGCCGCCCCGACUCCCGACGGAACAGACUCAGCACAGCAGGACACGGGAAACUGCGGCCCGCAGGCGGACGGAGAGGAUUGAGCGGCGCUGCGAACGCUACUCGGUAUUUUAUUUAAAGUUAACGGCGUCCAGUCUCCGUUUCAUGCCGCUGCUUUAUUCGAUUUAUACCUACGACACUACAGAAAACGUGCAAUUCCUUUUAUAGCAUUUGAUCAGAUCUGGCGCUCUUAAGCGUUAAUGACAAUAAAUGUAUUAUGUUUUAUGCGGAAUGUGGUAGAAGCUGCACUUCUGUUGUCGAUUUUGUAUGAUCUGUCGCUGUUUUUCUGUGAGCCUGGAGCCACAUUCCUGGUGAGACUCUCAGCCAUAUGUUGAUAUGUGAUACGGCCUGGCAGGCGCACAACGCGGCGUGCACAUUCGCGCAAUGGAGGCCGUCGGCGCGCCACCGCGAGUCCCCUCAUAGCAACGAGAGAUUAACGGUGUGUGUGUAUGUGUGUGUGCGCGCGGGACAGUGUUCGAACAAGCGGCAAAAGUGGCGCCAUCGCGACGACCCGUCAUCCCAUUGUGUAUUUUAUGUUCUCGGUGCGUCCUCAGUGUUUGAUGAGUUUGCAGCCGGCGGCGUUAGAUGGCACUGUCGGCGGCCGCCCGUUGUGGUGGCCGCGGUCGGUACGCCUCCUACGCUGGGGGUGGGACCGGCCCGGCCCAGUGUCCCCCUCCCUCGAGAACCAUAUCCUGCCGAACGGUGCCGGCAGACGCGCCGGUUUUGUAAAUUACAUGUUUGUACAUAGCAACAUACAUUGACUUUGGA
rnacentral:misc_RNA from 1 species